rnacentral:rRNA from 1 species
UACGUAGGCGGAAAAUUAAGUCAGUAGUGAAAUCCUGCAGCUUAACUGUAGAACUGUUAUUGAUACUGGUUUUCUUGAAUAUAGUUGAAGUAGGCGGAAUGUGUAAUGUAGCGGUGAAAUGCUUAGAUAUUACACAGAACACCGAUUGCGAAGGCAGCUUACUAAGCUAUGAUUGACGCUGAGGUACGAAAGCGUGGGGAGCGAACAGGAUUAGAUACCCGAGUAGUCC